UCCCGUCAGUAUUUGCCAGUAGUAUUAAGGUUGUAUCCGCUCAACACUCUCAUAAUACCAGAUUUGCUAGCAGACAGAAUUUAAGUAGACCAAAAGCACGAACUAAUUAUGGAAUACAAACAUUUAAAUUUAUUUCAUCACAAAUUUGGGAGUCUAUUAAUCCUGAAAUCAAGCGAUCAAAUUCAAUGUCAAUAUUUAGAAAAAGAUAUACUCAAUUUCUAAUUAUUUCACAAACACCCCCCUCUAAUUCCUUGAG